rnacentral:rRNA from 1 species
CCUACGGGUGGCAGCAGUGGGGAAUAUUGGACAAUGGGCGAAAGCCUGAUCCAGCAAUGCCGCGUGAGUGAUGAAGGCCUUAGGGUUGUAAAGCUCUUUUACCAGGGAUGAUAAUGACAGUACCUGGAGAAUAAGCUCCGGCUAACUCCGUGCCAGCAGCCGCGGUAAUACGGAGGGAGCUAGCGUUGUUCGGAAUUACUGGGCGUAAAGCGCACGUAGGCGGCGAUUCAAGUCAGAGGUGAAAGCCCGGGGCUCAACCCCGGAACUGCCUUUGAAACUAGAUUGCUAGAAUCCUGGAGAGGUUAGUGGAAUUCCGAGUGUAGAGGUGAAAUUCGUAGAUAUUCGGAAGAACACCAGUGGCGAAGGCGACUAACUGGACAGGUAUUGACGCUGAGGUGCGAAAGCGUGGGGAGCAAACAGGAUUAGAUACCCCUGUAGUC